rnacentral:lncRNA from 1 species
UACUGUCUCCUUCCCUUCAAAAUUCCCCCAAAUCAAAAUUAGCCUUCUUCCAAAAACUAUACCUACUCCCGUUCUCCCAUUCCCUUCCAACGCUACUCGGUGCUCAAGCGACGGCGCCGGCGAUGGCAAUCGGAGGUUGACGGCGCCGACGGCACACAGUAAUGGUUCAGUUAAAAUUUAAAUUUCGUGCCCUGUAAAUUAACUGUUCAAUUCGUGAACGGCGCCGACUGUUGAUUGCUUCAUUUUUUGGUUUCUUUUGAAUACAGAAACUUCAGUGGGUGAUGUUCAAUUGGUUUCUUUUGAAUACAGAAACUUCGUGAACGGCGCCGACUGUUCAAUUCGUUAACUCCUCUUCUCUCUCUCCUCUCACAAACCCACCUUCCAAAAGACUCUCACUCUGCAUCCCCAAAGUUUCUGCCAAN